AACGAACGCUGGCGGCAGGCUUAACACAUGCAAGUCGAGCGAGACCUUCGGGUCUAGCGGCGGACGGGUGAGUAACGCGUGGGAACGUGCCCUUCUCUACGGAAUAGCCCCGGGAAACUGGGAGUAAUACCGUAUACGCCCUUUGGGGGAAAGAUUUAUCGGAGAAGGAUCGGCCCGCGUUGGAUUAGGUAGUUGGUGGGGUAAUGGCCCACCAAGCCGACGAUCCAUAGCUGGUUUGAGAGGAUGAUCAGCCACACUGGGACUGAGACACGGCCCAGACUCCUACGGGAGGCAGCAGUGGGGAAUCUUAGACAAUGGGGGCAACCCUGAUCUAGCCAUGCCGCGUGAGUGAUGAAGGCCUUAGGGUUGUAAAGCUCUUUCAGCUGGGAAGAUAAUGACGGUACCAGCAGAAGAAGCCCCGGCUAACUCCGUGCCAGCAGCCGCCGUAAAAC
rnacentral:rRNA from 1 species